GACGAACGCUGGCGGCGUGCUUAACACAUGCAAGUCGAACGGAGUGGCGAACGGGUGAGUAACACGUGGGUAAUCUGCCUUGCACUUCGGGAUAAGCUUGGGAAACUGGGUCUAAUACCGGAUAUUGCAAGAUGAGCUCGAGGCCUAGCAGCUUGUUGGGGGUGUAAUGGCGUACCAAGGCGUCUAUGGGUAGCCGGCCUGACAGGGUGUACGGCCACAGUGGGCCUGGGGUACGGGCCAGACUGCUACGGGGGGCAGCAGUGGGGAAUAUUGCAAAAUGGGCGGAAGCAUGAUGCAGGGACGCCGGGUGGUGGAGGAAGGCCUUCGGGUUGUAAACUCCUUUCGACAGGAACGCGGUACCUGUAUAAGAAGCACCGGCUAACUACGUGCCAGCAGCCGCGGUAAUAC
rnacentral:rRNA from 1 species